CCCGGCUAGCCUCUGAAGAUCACGUUUACGUAGAAAGCCAGACCAAGUCAGACUCAGUCCAUCUCAAACAAGCCUAUUGCAAGUUGCAAGUUUAA